UACGUAGGGGGCUAGCGUUGUCCGGAAUCAUUGGGCGUAAAGCGCGUGUAGGCGGUUCGGUAAGUCCGCUGUGAAAGUCGGGGGCUCAACCCUCGGAAGCCGGUGGAUACUGUCGGGCUAGAGUACGGAAGAGGCGAGUGGAAUUCCUGGUGUAGCGGUGAAAUGCGCAGAUAUCAGGAGGAACACCAACGGCGAAGGCAGCUCGCUGGGACGGUACUGACGCUGAGACGCGAAAGCGUGGGGAGCGAACAGG
rnacentral:rRNA from 1 species